rnacentral:rRNA from 1 species
GAAGCUCGGUAGAUUGAAGGAACGGAAAGACGGCGGACGGGUGGAGUAACGCGUAGGUAACCUGCCUUGACAGAGGGACAGCCUCGGGAAACCGUGAUUAAUACCUCAUAACGCCGGAGUAGCACAUGCCACACCGGCCAAAGAUUUAUCGGUCAAAGAUGGACCUGCGUCUGAUUAGCCAGUUGGCGGGGUAACGGCCCACCAAAGCGACGAUCAGUAGCCGACCUGAGAGGGUGAUCGGCCACAUUGGAACUGAGACACGGUCCAAACUCCUACGGGAGGCAGCAGUGGGGGAUAUUGCACAAUGGGCGCAAGCCUGAUGCAAGCAACGCCGCGUGAGCGAAGAAGGUCUUCGGAUCGUAAAGCUCUGUCCAGAGGGACGAAGAAAGUGACGGUACCUCUGGAGGAAGCCCCGGCUAACUACGUGCCAGCCGCUGC